GCUUACCAUGCAAGUCGAGCGGAGAGAGGUAGCUUGCUACUGAUCUUAGCGGCGGACGGGUGAGUAAUGCUUAGGAAUCUGCCUAUUAGUGGGGGACAACAUUUCGAAAGGAAUGCUAAUACCGCAUACGUCCUACGGGAGAAAGCAGGGGAUCUUCGGACCUUGCGCUAAUAGAUGAGCCUAAGUCGGAUUAGCUAGUUGGUGGGGUAAAGGCCUACCAAGGCGACGAUCUGUAGCGGGUCUGAGAGGAUGAUCCGCCACACUGGGACUGAGACACGGCCCAGACUCCUACGGGAGGCAGCAGUGGGGAAUAUUGGACAAUGGGCGCAAGCCUGAUCCAGCCAUGCCGCGUGUGUGAAGAAGGCCUUAUGGUUGUAAAGCACUUUAAGCGAGGAGGAGGCUACUUUAGUUAAUACCUAGAGAUAGUGGACGUUACUCGCAGAAUAAGCACCGGCUAACUCUGUGCCAGCAGCCGCGGUAAUACAGAGGGUGCAAGCGUUAAUCGGAUUUACUGGGCGUAAAGCGCGCGUAGGCGGCUAAUUAAGUCAAAUGUGAAAUCCCCGAGCUUAACUUGGGAAUUGCAUUCGAUACUGGUUAGCUAGAGUGUGGGAGAGGAUGGUAGAAUUCCAGGUGUAGCGGUGAAAUGCGUAGAGAUCUGGAGGAAUACCGAUGGCGAAGGCAGCCAUCUGGCCUAACACUGACGCUGAGGUGCGAAAGCAUGGGGAGCAAACAGGAUUAGAUACCCUGGUAGUCCAUGCCGUAAACGAUGUCUACUAGCCGUUGGGGCCUUUGAGGCUUUAGUGGCGCAGCUAACGCGAUAAGUAGACCGCCUGGGGAGUACGGUCGCAAGACUAAAACUCAAAUGAAUUGACGGGGGCCCGCACAAGCGGUGGAGCAUGUGGUUUAAUUCGAUGCAACGCGAAGAACCUUACCUGGCCUUGACAUAGUAAGAACUUUCCAGAGAUGGAUUGGUGCCUUCGGGAACUUACAUACAGGUGCUGCAUGGCUGUCGUCAGCUCGUGUCCUGAGAUGUUGGGUUAAGUCCCGCAACGAGCGCACCCUUUUC
rnacentral:rRNA from 1 species